rnacentral:tRNA from 1 species
GGCGUGUUCAAAUCGGACGAUCCGAAGAAGAUUGCCCGCUCCGUCAAGCAAUCCGCCGAGGGAGCGAUCGCCGCAAGUCGAGUCCCUUCCGCGCCGCCA